GACGAACGCUGGCGGCGUGCCUAAUACAUGCAAGCAGAACGCACAGUUUAUACCGUAGCUUGCUACACCAUAAACUGUGAGUUGCGAACGGGUGAGUAACGCGUAGGUAACCUGCCUGGUAGCGGGGGAUAACUAUUGGAAACGAUAGCUAAUACCGCAUAAUAUUAAUUAUUGCAUGAUAAUUGAUUGAAAGAUGCGAUUGCAUCACUACCAGAUGGACCUGCGUUGUAUUAGCUAGUAGGUGAGGUAACGGCUCACCUAGGCGACGAUACAUAGCCGACCUGAGAGGGUGAUCGGCCACACUGGGACUGAGACACGGCCCAGACUCCUACGGGAGGCAGCAGUAGGGAAUCUUCGGCAAUGGACGAAAGUCUGACCGAGCAACGCCGCGUGAGUGAAGAAGGUUUUCGGAUCGUAAAGCUCUGUUGUAAGAGAAGAACGGGUGUGAGAGUGGAAAGUUCACACUGUGACGGUAUCUUACCAGAAAGGGACGGCUAACUACGUG
rnacentral:rRNA from 1 species